AUUGAACGCUGGCGGCAGGCCUAACACAUGAAAGUCGAGCGAGCGGCGGACGGGUGAGAACUGUCUGGGCAACUGCCUGAUGGAGGGGGAUAAAUACUGGAAACGGCAGCUAAUACCGCAUACCAUCAGAUGUGCUCCGAUGGGCUGUGCUAGCAGGUGGGGUAACGGCUCACCUUGGCUACGAGCCCUAGCUGGUCUGAGAGGCUGACCAGCCACACUGGAACUGAGACACGGUCCAGACUACUACGGGAGGCAGCAGUGGGGAAUAUUGCACAAUGGGCGCAAGCCUGAUGCAGCCAUGCCGCGUGUGGGAAGAAGGCCUUCGGGUUGUAAAGCACUUUCAGCGUGGAGGCGUUACCCGCAGAAGAAGCACCGGCUAACUCCGUGCCAGCCGCCGCGGUAAUUC
rnacentral:rRNA from 1 species